UUGUUUUAUCUCUUGCAUUCUGUGUCCUCAGAACUGCCGUAACACUCAUGGAUCUGAAACCAGGGUUUUAUUUAGCACAAGAUCAGUGAUGGACCGAUAGACUCCAGCGAGACAGAUGGGCAGAUGUGGCUUCACAGCACUCAGCGACUGCAAACGACAGGCAGAACAAACUGUCCUUACCCUCUCCGAGCUCAGCUGGAGGGACGUCGCUGAUACCCAUGAUGCUUUAGGUUACCACUGAGUGACAGAUGCUGUAACACUGGCAGAGGUUCAGUGAAUCGGAUUAGCAUUAAGGACAUCUGAAGCAUCCCUCUCUGUUUUAAUUAGCAAAAACAUUCGAAACCCUCAGCAAUGACCGCGAGCUCAUGAGAAGAUGCGUGCCGUAUUAUAACUCUGGCUAUACGGUAAACUUACACGAAACCAAACUGUGUUUACAGACUGACUGUCUGAUCCCAGAAACGCAGGAUCCUUCGGCUCUGCUUGUGCUGGUUUCCUGAGCCUCAUCUGAAAUCAAGCGCAUCGAAGGGUCAGGAGGUGCAGCAGAACCAAGCAUGCGAUCUGACAGCCGUGAGAAACACACUAAACGCUCUCGCAGACGGACAGAGCCUUCCUCGCCUCCUCAACACCCUCUGUUUAUAGGAUGAAUUCAUCUCAUGAAGACAUGUUUCAACUCGACAGGCUUCUGCCUUGUUACGGAUGGAUUUGCAGCAGAAAUGCAAAAAAGAAAUGAAGAGCCUCCUCCACUGUAAAAGCUUGUUGAAGCAGACAAAUGAGGAGAUUCACAGCCCACCUGAAGCCCAGGAGAACGCCGCCCGAGCAGGCAUGCCAGUGGAGGCCCCUGCUAAUUAUCAGGCCCCUCUCCAUGACUGACAUCUGCUUCCUACCCCUCUAUUAGGACAUCACCAGGGCUUGCAGAAAAAAAGCAAGGAGAAACCACACAACAACAAGGGGUUCCACUAUGCUCUGCCUCCUGAUGUGAGAAGUAUUACUGAUGUCGACUCUGAAGACUGUAGGUAUGGUGACGGUUCGUCUGUCAAGCGGCUGCCCUCUGGUGACCUUGUCCGUCUGAGGUAUCUGCGGCUCAGUGGAGCGUUUCCUGGCCGUCUCAUGCUCUAUCAGUCCCAAUGACGGAACACAGCACCCGACUGGACCCGCAUGGCCAUAAGGGGUGCUGGAGUCAAGCCGAUCCGACAGCCUAGCUCACUCCUCUGGUCUAAGGGUCAACGCUGAGGUCAUUCAGCACCUAGAGUCACCCUGGGUAGAAUGCAGUCAUGACAUGAAUCCUUCCUGGAUGUCCUUUCGAUUGCCAUUGCACACAA